rnacentral:rRNA from 1 species
UACGAAGGGGGCUAGCGUUGUCCGGAAUUCCUGGGCGUAAAGCGCACGUAGGCGGAUACUUAAGUCAGGGGUGAAAUCCCGGGGCUCAACCCCGGAACUGCCUUUGAUACUGGGUAUCUCGAGUCCGGAAGAGGUGAGUGGAAUUCCGAGUGUAGAGGUGAAAUUCGUAGAUAUUCGGAGGAACACCAGUGGCGAAGGCGGCUCACUGGUCCGGUACUGACGCUGAGGUGCGAAAGCGUGGGGAGCAAACAGG